AUCUUGGAAAACUCAAGGCUAAUAAUGGGGGUGAGGACAAGAAGGAUAGAGGAGAGAGAAGCAUGUGGCCUGCCUUUAUCCCUUGGACUGGAGCUUUGGGGGAAGAGGAGUGCACUGAUCCCAUAUGGAACCUGGGGGUCCCUGAAAGCCUGUGGUCAGUGUUGGAUGACACAAGGGAUGGAUGGUACUGCGAUCCAGCAAGUGAGAAAAGGCCUUCUUCACCCUUUCUUCCUCCCCCUGCUCUACCAAUCUGAUCAUUGAUUUUCUCUGUUUGCUUGUUUGUUUGCUUUGAGACAGAGUCUCUCUAUGUAGCCCUGCCUGGAACUCACUGUGUAGAUCAGGCUGCCUCCUGAGUUCUGAGACUAAAGGUAUGUG
rnacentral:lncRNA from 1 species